AUUGAACGCUGGCGGCAGGCCUAACACAUGCAAGUCGAGCGAGCGGCGGACGGGUGAGUAAUGUAUGGGGACUGCCCGAUAGAGGGGGCUAACUACUGGAAACGGUAGCUAAUACCGCAUACUAUCGGAUAACCCAUAUGGGAUUAGCUAGUAGGUGAGGUAAUGGCCCACCUAGACGACGAUCCCUAGCUGGUCUGAGAGGAUGAUCAGCAACAAUGGGACUGAGACACGGCCCAGACUCCUCCGGAGGCAGCAGUGGGGAAUAGUGCACAAUGGGCGAAAGCCUGAUGCAGCCAUGACGCGUGUAUGAAGAAGGCCCUAGGGUUGUAAAGUACUUUCAGUCGGGAGGCGUUACCGACAGAAGAAGCACCGGCUAACUCCGUGCCAGCAGCCGCGGUAAUUC
rnacentral:rRNA from 1 species